rnacentral:rRNA from 1 species
AUUGAACGCUGGCGGCAGGCCUAACACAUGCAAGUCGAGCGAGCGGCGGACGGGUGAGUAAUGUAUGGGGACUGCCCUAUAGAUAGGGAUUACUACUGGAAACGGUGGUUUCUACCGCAUACUGUCGGAUAACCAAUCUGUGAUUAGCUAGUAGGUAAGGUAAUUUCUUACCUAGUCUACGAUCCCUAGCUGGUCUGAGAGGAUGAUCAGCCACACUGUGACUGAGACACGGCCCAGACUCCUACGGAGGCAGCAGUGGGGAAUAUUGCACAAUGGGCGCAAGCCUGAUGCAGCCAUGCCGCGUGUAUGAAGAAGGCCCUAGGGUUGUAAAUUACUUUCAGUCGGGAGGCGUUACCGACAGAAGAAGCACCGGGUAAAGAAGAGCCAGCAGCCGCGGUAAUAC